rnacentral:lncRNA from 1 species
UAAAUUUAAGAUUUUUUUUAAAAAAAUGUUUUAUUAUUUAUUUUUUAGUUUUCGGCGGACACAACAUCUUUGUUUGUAUGUGGUGCUGAGGAUCGAACCCGGGCCGCACGCAUGCCAGGCGAGCAUGCUACCGCUUGAGCCAUAUCCCCAGCCCAAGAUAUUUUUAAUGAAGUGUGGAAUACAAAAUCCUACUGCUUACUCUCAUGGGUUUUCAAGGACAACAACAACAACAACAACAAAGACUAAUAU